rnacentral:misc_RNA from 1 species
AAUUCUCAAUGUAAUAAUCUUUAUUGAUUAUUAUACUUGGAUGUUGAAGGCUGCUGAUGGUCAACAUCAGCUCCUUUUAAAUCUAUUAGCAGAAUCUGCCAGACCUGCCUCGGUUUGAUAAUUAUUGUUAUCAUCUAUCUGUCGCAGUGGAUGCAAUCAUUCAGCUUCUAAUCGUCUCUUCAUUGAGACUGUCUCAUUAGAGGCAUACUUAUGACU